CAGCUAUGAGGAUAAAAACCUUUGACAGUUAUUCCCCAUGGUGACUGUAUACGCUAUUCUGAGCUGUGA
rnacentral:snoRNA from 1 species